UUCCUUAGUGAUGUAUUAUGUGUCGUCAGCUCCCUCUGUCGACGACAUUCCCCCUGCUGUCAGAGAAGCUGGCGCAGGUCGGUCAAGUGAUAUCGCUGGAGUUAACGCGAGUUGGCUGUGCGCUCGUUCGCUUCGCGACGCCCGCGCACGCUGAGGCCUGUUAUUUACAAUACAAUAAAUUGUUCGUGAUGGGAAAUACUAUAGAAGUGAAGUUUCUGUAACUUAAGGCUGCAACUUACAUGGAUAAUGUUAGAAUUAAGUUAUCUUAAGUUAUUUUAGUUUAGUGUAAGAUGAAUAAGCUAUAUCGAUAAGUUUGUUUUAAUUAUAUUUGGUUAAUGAAUUAGUGAUAUUUCAAAUACGAAACUUAUUUUUUUAAGUUAUUAAAAAUAGAUUUUUUAAUAUGAAAUUUAAGGCCAAACUUGGAAUAUAUGACGAAUUCGCAUGUUCCUUUGAUUUUUAAAGCAUUUUAAGUUCUUUUUACACAUUUUUUGAUUGAAAUUUUAUUAAAUUAAGUGAGAUGUUACGAUAGUUAAAAAAGUGAUUGUUUUUGUUAUUUAAAAAAAAUCAUCUUAGUGAAGUGUAACUUUAUUAAGUAGUAUUUUUAUACUAAAUAAUGAAAUAAAUUAUAGCCUAAACUAAUUUAAAAUCCUGGCUUCAAUCGUUUUAUUAAUUCACUUUUCUAAUAGCAAAUUAAUUAGUUCC